GCUUACGGCCAUACCACCCUGAACACGCCCGAUCUCGUCUGAUCUCGGAAGCUAAGCAGGGUCGGGCCUGGUCAGUACUUGGAUGGGAGACCGCCUGGGAAUACCAGGUGCUGUGAGCU
rnacentral:rRNA from 1 species